GACGUAGGGCGCGAGCGUUGUCCGGAAUUAUUGGGCGUAAAGAGCUCGUAGGCGGUUUUGUCGCGUCUGCUGUGAAAACCCGAGGCUCAACCUCGGGCCUGCAGUGGGUACGGGCAGACUAGAGUGCGGUAGGGGGAGAUUGGAAUUCCUGGUGUAGCGGUGAAAUGCGCAGAUAUCAGGAGGAACACCGGUGGCGAAGGCGGGUCUCUGGGCCGGAACUGACGCUGAGGAGCGAAAGCGUGGGGAGCGAACAGG
rnacentral:rRNA from 1 species